CGCAAUCACGCGAGAUUACGUUACUCCCGCCUUGUGAUUUUUUGUCCCACGCGAGGAGAAGCACGGCACGCUCGGGAUUCACAACCAUCAUCGAAAUACGAGAUAUGAAUGUGGUCUUGUAAGGACUGUGGACCAACUGUAUCAACAAGAGUCCUUCUACUAAAACAAUACAGAUGCAAAAAAACACCGCAAAGCCUGGUAACUCCUCCAGUCCUAACCAAGUAAAGAAACCCAGGAGGGCUGAAGUCAAUUUCUGCCCCCAGUACCCAGCUGGAGAAGACAAAGAGAGUCUUGAGAAGGAGCGAGUGGAACUGCUAUCUGAGGUCAAGAAAAGGAACAACCAUCAAGUGAUAAAAGAGAAAAUGGAGAAAACCUUUGCUCAUCGGUGUUAUGAGGUGGUUCAAGACAUGCCCUUCAUUGCAGUAUUCAAAAGUAGAUGGCCGGCUCUAUUUAUGGAACAUGAG